UAGGGCGACAAGUUGUUGUUAUUGUUUAGCCUCAAGUCAGCCCUAAAUGAGCAAAGCUAUAAUAAAAGACGUCCCAACCGUGACCAUCUUGUUUUUUUUUUUUACAGCUAUGAGUGAAUUGGAGGAAAUUUAGCUUCUAUCUCUAGCCUACAGCGCAAUGAUGCAGAGGUACCCAGAAGUUAGCAGAAAAGAUAUAGCGAUAAGGUCAGCCCUGAAUGAGCAGCCCAUGAUCAAAGGCAUUCCAAACAGGACCAUCCUGACUGUUUAGAACAUGGGUUAGAUGAACACAUUAUUGAGGCAAGUUUUACAGCUGGAUGCUCUUCUUAUCAUAAACCUUUAAUUGUUUUCAAGUAAGUGCUAUCUUAUUACACACUUUUGAAGGCACAAAACCAAUGGAUGUAUGAGUGUGGGGCUGGUAUAGUGAGUGAUGUGUGGUGAUGAAGGACAGAUGGUCUGGUUGCUCAGGAGGAGAUCAAUGUAAAAUGUGGGAGGAGAGUACAGUAUUAAGAAUGAAAGAUGGAUAACAUGUGAAAUGAUUCCACACAAUAAGGAUAAAUGGUGAAGUGUGCUGUUCCAUACCUAUGCACCUGUGACAUCAUCCUUGAUACUAUGCAUCUCUCAUACACUAAAAAGAGCUUCUUCUAAGCAAACAACUCUAGGCGUGUUUUUAAAAAAGAAAUCCACAAGUUCAUCUACAAGUGCUUGUGAAUCAGCGAACAUGUCUACAAGUGAUGGUG